rnacentral:rRNA from 1 species
GACAGAGGGUGCAAACGUUGUUCGGAAUCACUGGGCGUAAAGCGUGUGUAGGCGGUCUUAUAAGUCGGAUGUGAAAGCCCCGGGCUCAACCCGGGAAGUGCACCCGAUACUGUAGGACUAGAGUACUGGAGAGGUUGGUGGAAUUCUCGGUGUAGAGGUGAAAUUCGUAGAUAUUGGGAAGAACACCGGUGGCGAAGGCGGCUCACUGGCUCAUUACUGACGCUCAGGCGCGAUAGCGUGGGGAUCAAACAGG